GAUGAACGCUGGCGGCGUGCUUAAGACAUGCAAGUCGAACGGUAACAGACCUUCGGGUGCUGACGAGUGGCGGACGGGUGAGUAACACGUGGGAAUCUACCUUGUAGUGGGGGAUAAGCCAGGGAAACUUGGACUAAUACCGCAUACGCCCUAAGGGGGAAAGGAGCAAUUCGCUAUAAGAUGAGCCCGCGUCUGAUUAGCUAGUUGGUGAGGUAAAGGCUCACCAAGGCGACGAUCAGUAGCUGGUCUGAGAGGAUGACCAGCCACAUUGGGACUGAGACACGGCCCAGACUCCUACGGGAGGCAGCAGUCGGGAAUAUUGGACAAUGGGGGCAACCCUGAUCCAGCAAUACCGCGUGUGUGAAGAAGGCCUGCGGGUUGUAAAGCACUUUUAGUAGGGAAGAUAAUGACGUUACCUACAGAAAAAGCACCGGCUAACUCCGUG
rnacentral:rRNA from 1 species